rnacentral:rRNA from 1 species
AUCAACUUUCGAUGGUAGGAUAGAGGCCUACCAUGGUGGUAACGGGUAACGGGGUGUUAGGGCACGACACCGGAGAGGGAGCCUGAGAAACGGCUACCACAUCCAAGGAUGGCAGCAGGCGCGCAAAUUACCCAAUCCCGACACGGGGAGGUAGUGACAAUAAAUAACAAUACGGGGUUCUUUAGGAUCUCGUAAUUGGAAUGAGUACAAUUUAAAUCUCUUAACGAGGAACAAUUGGAGGGCAAGUCUGGUGCCAGCAGCCGCGAUAAUUCCAGCUCCAAUAGCGUAUAUUAAAGUUGUUGCAGUUAAAAAGCUCGUAGUUGAAUUUCGGGAUCAUCAGGUUGGUCGUGCCUUCGGUAUGUACUUGCUUCGGUGGUCCCUCCUUCUUGAAGAACCGUAAUGGCAUUAAUUUGUUGUUGCGGGGAAACAGGACUGUUACUUUGAAAAAAUUAGAGUGUUUAAAGCAGGCAAUCGCUUGAAUACAUUAGCAUGGAAUAAUGAAAUAGGACGUUCGAUCCUAUUUUGUUGGUUUCUAGGAUUGACGUAAUGAUUAAUAGGGAUAGUUGGGGGCAUUAGUAUUCAAUUGUCAGAGGUGAAAUUCUUGGAUUUAUUGAAGACUAACUACUGCGAAAGCAUUUGCCAAGGAUGUUUUCAUUAAUCAAGAACGAAAGUUAGGGGAUCGAAGACGAUCAGAUACCGUCGUAGUCUUAACCAUAAACUAUGCCGACUAGGGAUCGGAUGAUGUUAAUUUUUUAAUGACUCAUUCGGCGCCUUACGGGAAACCAAAGUGUUUGGGUUC